CAAGGAAUUUUCCGCAAUGGGCGCAAGCCUGACGGAGCAACGCCGCGUGGAGGACGACGGCCUUCGGGUUGUAAACUCCUUUUGGGGGGAGGAUACGGACCGUACCCCCCGAACAAGCCCCGGCUAACUCUGUGCCAGCAGCCGCGGUAAGACAGAGGGGCAAGCGUUGUCCGGACUGACUGGGCGUAAAGCGCACGCAGGCGGUGCGCCAAGUGGGGUGUGAAAGCCGGUGGCUCAACUGCCGGAGGCCAUCCCAAACUGGCGCACUCGAGCCAUGCAGAGGGUGGUGGAAUUGCCGGUGUAGUGGUGAAAUGCGUAGAGAUCGGCAGGAACACCCAAGGGGAAACCAGCCACCUGGGCAUGCGCUGACGCUGAGGUGCGACAGCGUGGGGAGCGAACCGGAUUAGAUACCCGGGUAGUCCACGCCGUAAACGAUGUAGGCUCGGCAUCUAGCGCCUAUCAACGGCGCCGGGUGCCCUAGGUAACCCGCUAAGCCUACCGCCUGGGAACUACGAGCGCAAGCUUAAAAC
rnacentral:rRNA from 1 species